UAAAAAUAAUAAGUAAACUUUUUGGCUAAUCCACACUGACUCAUAUUUCAGAAUAUGUUAUCGCAAGCUCACAUAUAUCUUAAUUAUUUAAGAAACAAUGAAACUAAAGUUGAUUGAGCAUAUUGAUGCUCGAUAUUUACCUUAUUUCAGACUUCAUGGAGCAAAUUAAUAGUUUAAAUCGGCCUGACAAACAGAUUAUAAUUGGUCCUUGCAGUAACAGUCUGACAGACUAACAAAACUGAAUCCCUGGACCUGUGUCAGUGUUACAGAUUUGCGUAAAAAAAAAAAAAAAAGUUCAUCGUUUAGUUUUUUUACAAACACAUUUUAAAACAUCACCUACACGUAAUCUAUUAUGGGACCAGGUCCCUGGCAUACGGCUGCCAGGGACUGGUUAACCGGCACCCUAUUUCCUGGCCGUUGGAUGCAUAUCCAGCGGCCAGGAUCAUAUUAAAGUUUUAAUAAAGCGCUGGACAUAUUAAAAUUUUAAUAUGAUCCUGGCCGCUGGAUAUGCAUCCAACGGUCCAGAAUCUGGAUGCCGGUUAAGCGCUCCACAGCAUACGGAUGCUGUGGACCGCUACCCAUCUAUUAUAUAUAUAAUACUACAACAUGGGUUUUGGUGAGCCAAUUUAAUCAUUAAUAUCCUCAUUAAUAUCUACACUAAUAAUUAUUUCAUUUAAUUUAUUACACAUUAUUAAUUACUAAUAACUACAUAUCUAAUAUCCGUCAUUGAUUAUAUCUAAUUAUUAUGUCUUAAUUAAUACACUCUUUGUCCCAUUUAAUUUUAUACGUUUCAACUGCUUGACACACAUUUCAAUGCUCUUAGAAAAUAUAGUUAUGUAACUUAUUUUUGAGGAUUUUUUUUUCCUAAAUAAAAAUUUAACAUCCAAACUUUAAUUCAAAAAAAAGAAAAUUUAAAAAAUAAAUUACAUAACUACACUUUGCAGGAGCAUUAAAGGUCGUGCCAUGUUCGCGUCCGUGUGCCUCGGUGUAUACUAUCUAGGGGGCGGAGGGAGUUCCUAGCGAAUACUAAUAAUCCCUCUGUUUUUUUUUAUUUGACGUUUUGACUUUUGACAUACUUCUUUAGAUGAUUGACCGGGUAGUAAAAGUUAUUAUUUUUAAGUUAUUUUUUUGUGAAUAAAAGUUUUAGUUGUAUAUUUUUAUUCAGAGAAAGAAAAUUUAAAAAAUAAUAUUUUUAACUACCUGGUCAAAGCACUUAAAAGUGUGCCUAAAGUCAAACGUCAAAUAAAAAAACAGAGAGAGUAAUUUAUUUAUCAUUAGAUCAUCUCAUCAAUCAUUAUACAUUAUUAACUGCUAAUAACUACAUAUUUAAUACAUGUUAUUAAUUAUAUCCCAAACUUUAAUUCAGAAAAACAAAAUUUAUAAAAAAAAUUUACACAACUACACUUUGCAGGAGCAUUAAAAUUUGUGCCGUGUUCCCGUCCGCGUCCCUCAAUGUAUAUUGUUAGGGACGGAGGGAGUAUGUAGCAAAUACUAAUAAUCCUCCUGUCUUUUUUAUUUGACUUGACGUUUUGACUUUUGGCACCCUUCUUUUGAUGAGUUGACCGGUUAGUAGAAAUUAUUAUUUUUAAUUUAUUGUUUUUUUGAAUAAAAGUUUUAGUUAUAUAUUUUUAUUCAGAGAAAGAAAAUUUAAAAAAUAAUAUUUCUAACUACCUGGUCAAAGAACUUAAAAAUGCAUGCCCAAAGUCAAAGCGUCGAAUAAAAAAAAUAGAGAGAGUAAUUUAUUUAUCAUUAGAUCAUCUCAUCAAUCAUUAUACAUUAUUAACUACUAACAACUACUCCCUCCGUCCCACCCAUUUCUUAUCAAAUGGGUUGGGCACGGAGGUUAAGGAAUAUGUAUAAAAUAGUGGAAAAGUGGGUAAAGUGAUGGGACCCAUUGAUUUUUAAUGUAUAAAAAGAAGAUAGUGGAGUAAAAGUAGUGUGAAAAGGAAAGAAAAGUGGAGAAGUGGUGGGACCCAUUGACUAUUUUUGGUAAGUUUUGAAAUGUAAAGAAUUGGAUGGGACACCUAAAAAAGGAAAGUGUAAAGAAAUGGGUGGGACGGAGGGAGUACAUAUUUAAUAUAUGCUAUUAAUUAUAUCUAAUUAUUAAAUCUCCUUAAUACUUUCUCUGUCCCAAAAUAAGUGUCAUUUUGACUUUUUUCACGUAGUUUAAGGUGAAAAAAAAUACUUCGGCAUAUUAUUUUUGAAAUUUUCUUUUUCUGAAUAAAAGUUUAUCAUCUAUAUUUUUAUUCAGAAAAAGAAAAUUUCAAAAAUAAUAUGCCGAAGUAUUUUUUUUCACCUUAAACUACGUGAAAAAAGUCAAAAUGACACUUAUUUUGGGACAGAGGGAGUAUCUAACGAAUACUAACAAUGGUAAUUCAGUUAUCAUUGGAUCAUUUCAUCAAUUAUUAUACAUUGAUAAUUACUUAUAAAUACAUGAAUAAUAUUUAGAGUAAAUGACAAAGCGGUGGCCGUAGUUUUCCAAAUUUUACAAGAUGGUGGCUGGACUUUAAAAACUACAUAAUGGUGGCCGGAGUUUACUUCCGUCAUUUAAUAAGGUGGCCGUCGUGAACCUCCGUUAAUUUUCCUCCGUUCUGAAAAAUAGAAGAGUAAAUGACAAAGUGGUGGUUGUAGUUUUCCAAAUUUUACAAAAGGUUGGCCGGAUUUCCACCAUUUUGUCGUUUAUUCUUUUAUUUUUCGGAGUUAACGGAGGAAAAUUAACAGAAGUUCACGACCGCCACCUUAUUAAAAGGCGGAAGUGAACUGCGGCCACCAUUAUGUAAUUUUAAAAAUCCAGCCACCAUCUUGUAAAAUUCGGAAAAUUGCAGCCACCAAUUUGUCAAUUACUCUGAUAUUUAUUAAUAAUAAUAUCUUAUACAUUAUUAUAAAAUAAUACUUUUGAGGGAAAAUAGAUUUUUUUCGCCACCCAACUUACUGUUUGUUUAGAAAUUUGCCACCGAAUUAUAAAUUUUUUCCUUUUUGUCACUAAUAUUAGGUUCAGAUAUUUUUUUUUGUCACUAAUAUUAGGAUCGGAUUAAUUUAUUAACACUAUAUUAUUCUUUUUAGCAUUAUUGAAACAUAAUGGUAGUCCACAAUAUUAUGGUGACAUGAUGUGUCUAUAUCUUUAUAGGGAGUACUCCAUAUGUGUCCUCGUUAGUGUACCUUGGAGGACGAGAAUUUGACACGUAUUUUAAGCCUCCUAAAAAAAUUAGUUUCAUUAAUUAUUUUAAUUUUUUUCUGAAUAAAAAUUUAACAUUUGGAUUUUUAUACACAAAAAAGAAAAUCUUACAAUUAAAUUAUGGAACUAUGUUUUAUAAAUAGUAUGAGAAGAACUAUAAAAAAUUGAGGUGGGCGGAGGGAGUAAUAAUAACAUAAAUGAGCGGUAAAAUCGAGAAUAAUUGUAUAUUGUCUACUUUUAUUAUAGUAUUCGUCCUUAUUUUUUUACAAUAAUAUAGAUAAUUGUAGCUGACAUCUAAUCUUGAUUUUUAAGAAAUAAUAUAUAAUAUAGACAAUAGACAAUCAUAACUUUUAUUUAAAAAAAAUUAAAAUAAUUUAUGAAAUUAAAUCUUUUAGGAGUCUUAAAAUACAUGUAGGUGAACUAUCUACGGUACAUAUAAUAUACUAUAUACAAAGAUAUAGACAUAUAUCAGAUCUUCAUAAUAUAUUGUAGACUAUCAUUAUAUUUUAGUAUAAUACUAAAAAAAUAACAUAAAGCUAAUAUUCAAAUCCGAACCUAAGGUUAGUAACGAAAUAUAAUACUAAAAAAAUAACAUAAUGUUAAUAUUCAAAUCCGAACCUAAGGUUAGUGACGAAAAAGAAUCAGAACCUAACAUUAGUGACAAAAAGGAAAAAAAUUAUAAUUCGAUGGCAAAUUUCUAAACAAACCAUAAGUUGGGUGGCAAAAAAAUCUAUUUUCCCUACUUUUGAAUGAAUGUGUCCUUAAAAUAUUUGUAAAAUACUCAUUAAUAUCAUUCAUUUCAUCAAUCAUUAUACAUUAUUAAUUACGAAUAACUACAUAUUCAAAAUAAAAAUAUUCUUUGCGAGGAAUUCACCAAGUUAAUGCACUCAAAGUAAAGAGUGAACCAAUAUACAGUUAGGCAACUCAAGUUAUAGGUUAUGAUUAGUAAAGAAUUGAUUGUAGGCAACUCAAGUUAUAUGUCAUGAUUAGUUAGAAUUUAUCUAAUUCAUCAAACUAAUGCACUCAGAUCAAAAAGUGAACCAAUAUACGGUAGUUAAAGACAACUCGAGUUAUAUGUUAUGAUUAAUAAAGAAUUGAUCUAAUGAGUUAAACAAUUCGAGUUAUAUGUUUUGAUUAGUAAAGAAUUUAUCUAAUGUAGUUAUCGUAUUUCUUAAUAGAUUAAGUUACUGUAUCUUGUCAAAAAAACUAUGCACACAUAAUAUUACAAUAAUGGGUAAAUGUUUUAUGAAUUUCCAUAUGCAUGAAUGUUAAGGGUUUCAUGCAUGAAUGUUAAGGGUUCUUAUCAUGCUAAUUUGAUUUAGUUACGAUUAAGGAAACUCGAAUUAUAUGUUAUGAUUAGUAAAGAAUUGAUCUAAUGUAGUUAGGCAACUUAAGUGAUAAGUUAUGAUUACUAAAGAAUUUAUAUAAUUCAUUAAGCUAAUGCACUCAAACCAAAAAAUGAACCAAUAUACAAUAGUUAAAGGCAUUUCGAGUUAUAUGUUAUGAUUAGUAAAAAAUUGAUAUGAUAUAGUUAGGCAAAUGUAGUUAUAUGUUAUGAUUAGUAAAGAAUUGAUAGAAAGUAGUUAUCAUAUUUCUUAAUAGAUUAAACAAGUUAUUUUGUCAAAAAGACUAUGCACGCAUAAUUACAAUAAUGGGUAACUGUUCCAUGAAUUUUCAUAUGCAUGAAUGUUAAGGGUUGCACACAUGAAUGUUAAGGGUUCUGAUGAUGCUGAUUUGAUUUAGUGUAGUUGGAGUUUAGUUGUCGAUAAGAUUAUUUCACAGUAUAGUAUAUAAUAUCAUCAGUUCUCCGCUAAUUUUCUUUUGGUUUGUGGUGAUCUUUUUUAAUCCACUUUGAUAGAUUUUUUUUUGGCUAUUUCUGCAUUACGUUCUCAAAACAUAAAAAAGACGCAUAAACUCAAAUAUAGAAAUAUUUAGAGCAUGCCCGUGCCUCGCACGGGCUAUAAAGCUAGUUAACACCAGAUGCUGCAACCAGUAACCCUCACUCUAUAUGCACCGAGUGAAGUAGGUCUGACCGAUGUACCCACCAGACAUUGCCCUUCUCACAUUAGAUUCAAACAACUUGGGGUUAUCCCUCAGCACUGCUGCUG
rnacentral:lncRNA from 1 species